rnacentral:rRNA from 1 species
CAGCAGCCACGGGAAUACGUAGGUGGCAAGCGUUGUCCGGAAUUAUUGGGCGUAAAGCGCGCGCAGGUGGUUUAAUAAGUCUGAUGUGGAAGCCCACGGCUCAACCGUGGAGGGUCAUUGGAAACUGUUAAACUUGAGUGCAGGAGAGAAAAGUGGAAUUCCUAGUGUAGCGGUGAAAUGCGUAGAGAUUAGGAGGAACACCAGUGGCGAAGGCGGCUUUUUGGCCUGUAACUGACACUGAGGCGCGAAAGCGUGGGGAGCAAACAGGAUUAGAUACCCCUGUAGUCCCUGUUUCUUAUAC